AUAGCUUCUCGGUCUUUUGGCUAAGACCAAGUGUAGUAUCUGUUCUUAUCAGUUUAAUUUAUUGUUGGCUGUUUGCUUGUUGUAAACUGUCUUUAUUAAGUUUAGGUACAUGCCUU
rfam:Mus musculus chromosome 8, GRC primary reference assembly.